GCCGUAGAGGUCAGGCGACCGCCGCGGCCACCUUCCCAUCGCUAGGACCCCGGCAAGCCACGGAGCAGGGGACCUUCGGGGCCGGAAGUUGUCUGCCUCGUAGUGGGCCACGCCAGAAGCCCGGAAGCGUGCAGUCCCGGCGGCGGCCCUGCAGGGGGCGUUGUCGUCCGGUGUUCUCCGCGUGCGGGGCCGGUUUAGAAGGCCCAGUUCCCGCUCAUUUGGUGUAUUCCUGAACUGCAGGUUUGUCCCUCGUGGCCGUGGCCUCCCGCCUGCCUUCGCGUCACAGUCUCGUUGCCCUGGAAACGAUGGAGCCUCAGCGCAGAAAUGGCUUUGAGAGUCGGCGGAGGGUCUGGCCCUGCUCUCGGGCGCUCUCAGCGUUGCGCUCUCCUCGGCGCCUAAACCCCAGAAUAACCGUCCUGGAAAGCGGUGGUCGAAGUAACCAUGGCUCUGUCGGGACUCCUAACUUUUCGCUUUCCGUCGCGAUCUCGCCGGGGAAACACUCUUCGACUCUGGGAAUCCGAAGACUAAUGAGGCACGCUUUCAAGUUGCUGCCAGUUUUAUAGGGGCAGCGUGUAACAUACACAUGACAGUAUGUGACAACCCUGAUGUGUAAUAAGGGUCACAAACUCAAAUUCGCCUAGGAGCCAGGCAGGAUCUAAUGCAAACGUGUCAGGGGUCCCCAAGACCACCCUGAGGUUCAAUGAUUCACUAGAACUCACAGGACUCAGCAUAUAGGCAUCACCGUGACUAUGAUUUAUUACAAAGAAAAGAUACAGAACAAGAUCAGCAAUGGGCAAUGGCACCUUGGGUGAAGUCUGGACACUCAAGCUUCCAAGAGUUCUCUCUCAGUGGAGUCACAUGGGACACGCUUAAUUCCUCCAGCAAUGAGUUGUGACAGCACAUGUGAAAUGUUGUCUAACAGAUAAGCUCAUUGCAGAUUCAAUGUCCAGAGUUUUUAUUGGGGGCUAGUCACACAAGCACUGUCUACCUAACACAUACCCAAAUUUUCAGACUCCCAGAAGGAAAGCCAGUGUUCAGCAUAAACCACAUUGUUUGUACAAACAGUUUAGGCACCAUGAGCCAUUCUUAUCAGGGAAUUGUGGGAACUCUCCCAAAAUCUAAAUUCCCAGAUGCCAGUCAAGGGCCACCAACCUUGCAAGCAGGCCUUGCUGAGAAUAGCAGUCUCAGGCCUGCUAUGUUAACUCUUUUCUGCAUACCAGGGUACCACGUUUCAUUUAGUUGUCACAUUUCCCUAGUCUCAUCUGGUUUGUGACAGUUCCUCAGUCUUCCCUUGUUUUUCAUGACCUGGACAAUCUUGAGGAGUGCUGACCAGAUAAUCCUGUAGCCUGUCCCUGAAUCUAGGUUUGUCUGAUAUCUUUCUCAUGCUUAGAUGGGUAUUAGCAGGUUCUGGGAGGAUACCACAGAAGUGAAGUGUCCUCAUCACAUCAUUGUAGCGGCUACAUGAUAUCUGUGUGAUACCUGGUGACAGUAACUUUCAGCUCUUGGUAAAUGUACUAUUUGCCAAAUUCCUCCACUUUAAAGUUAAUAUUUUUCCCUUUCC
rnacentral:lncRNA from 1 species